AACGAACGCUGGCGGCAGGCCUAACACAUGCAAGUCGAGCGCACCCUUCGGGGUGAGCGGCGGACGGGUGAGUAACGCGUGGGAACGUGCCCUUCUCUGCGGAAUAGCCUCGGGAAACUGAGAGUAAUACCGCAUACGCCCUUUGGGGGAAAGAUUUAUCGGAGAAGGAUCGGCCCGCGUUGGAUUAGGUAGUUGGUGGGGUAAUGGCCCACCAAGCCGACGAUCCAUAGCUGGUUUGAGAGGAUGAUCAGCCACACUGGGACUGAGACACGGCCCAGACUCCUACGGGAGGCAGCAGUGGGGAAUCUUAGACAAUGGGGGCAACCCUGAUCUAGCCAUGCCGCGUGAGUGAUGAAGGCCGUAGGGUUGUAAAGCUCUUUCAGCUGGGAAGAUAAUGACGGUACCAGCAGAAGAAGCCCCGGCUAACUCCGU
rnacentral:rRNA from 1 species